AUGGCCGGCUUCCCAGGGGCCGGCGGCUAUGACGCCAUGGCUGGAUACGGCGAUGAUGAGGACGAUGAGGCCAUGAAGAGCCUCUACGCCGGCGUGGCCCCCGCCCCGCGGAGGAGGAGGAGGAGGUCGAUGAGGGUGCACUACAUGGGGACGCUGGCGGAUGACACCAAGUUCGACUACAGCCGGGAUCACGACGCCCCGUUUAGGUUCAUUGAUGACAGCCAAGGGUUCAUGCUCGGAAACGACUACAUCUUGCUCCAUGUUGUCGGCUCAACUAAAGUCCUUAAUCAUGAGGAGAUGGGACACGUCGAUUGUUAG
rnacentral:rRNA from 1 species